rnacentral:rRNA from 1 species
UAAUACGAAGGUGGCAAGCGUUAUUCGGAUUUACUGGGCGUACAGGGAGCGUAGGCGGUUCGGUAAGCCCUCUGUGAAAUCUCCAGGCUUAACCUGGAAAAGUCGGGGGGGACUGCUGGGCUAGAGGACGGGAGAGGAGCGCGGAAUUCCCGGUGUAGCGGUGAAAUGCGUAGAGAUCGGGAGGAAGGCCGGUGGCGAAGGCGGCGCUCUGGAACGUUUCUGACGCUGAGGCUCGAAAGCGUGGGGAGCAAACAGGAUUAGAUACCCUGGUAGUCCACGCCUUAAACUAUGAAUACUAAGUGUCGGCGGUUUACCGCCGGUGCCGCAGCUAACGCAUUAAGUAUUCCGCCUGGGAAGUACGGCCGCAAGGUUGAAACUCAAAUGAAUUGACGG